rnacentral:tRNA from 3 species
GCCUCCUUAGCUCAGUUGGUUAGAGCACCCGACUCAUAAUCGGUAGGUCCACAGUUCAAGUCUGUGAGGAGGCACCA